rnacentral:rRNA from 1 species
AUUGAACGCUGGCGGCAGGCCUAACACAUGCAAGUCGAGCGGGGACUUCGGUCCUAGCGGCGAACGGGUGAGUAAUGCUUGGGAAUCUGCCCAGUAGUGGGGGAUAACGUCCCGAAAGGGACGCUAAUACCGCAUACGUCCUACGGGAGAAAGAGGGGGAUCUUCGGACCUCUCGCUAUUAGAUGAGCCCAAGUCGGAUUAGCUAGUUGGUAGGGUAAUGGCCUACCAAGGCGACGAUCCGUAGCUGGUCUGAGAGGAUGAUCAGCCACACUGGAACUGAGACACGGUCCAGACUCCUACGGGAGGCAGCAGUGGGGAAUAUUGGACAAUGGGCGAAAGCCUGAUCCAGCCAUGCCGCGUGUGUGAAGAAGGCCUUCGGGUUGUAAAGCACUUUAAGCGGGGAGGAAGGUUCGCGGCCUAAUACGUCGCGGAAUUGACGUUACCCGCAGAAUAAGCACCGGCUAACUCGGUG